rnacentral:lncRNA from 1 species
CUCUGGGAUGCAGGCAGGAAGGUCGAGUGUAUUACACUGGCCCCACCUCCUGAAGCUCUCUCUGCAGCUGCUGGACUGGACACAAAAGAGUGAGGGACAGAGACACCACCUCCGCUGAUUUGUACCAAACUCUGGUUCCAGUGGCUGAGAGGUCACAUGUGACAGAAGUCAGGGUGGGGGACCCACGCAGCUGUGUGCAUUUCCCAGGUAAGCAACUAUUUGUGUCAGAGCCAGAGGUAGAGAGCAAGGCCUGAAGGCAGAGGAGAAGGCGGGAGGAGGUGGCUGCCCGGGGAUGGACCUAGAACUAUCGAUAAGUUACCUUAUUGAUAAGUUACUAUCUAUAAGAUUACCUAACUAAUCUAUAGAAGGAAAGUAGGAAGAGGGGCAGGGGCCAGCGCCAGAACAAGCCCUCAGGCCAGGCUUCUACAAGGUGUCCCUGUCUGAGGUAAGUAAGGCUUACAUUUGGGCCACUUCUGGCCGGCAAGUGUGGUGGCAGUUCCAGGGCAGGGCUGUGCUCUGACAGCCUCUGGGGGUCAGCAGAUCCGGAGAGCAGAGGCACCCGCCACACCAUGGCAUCAGUGUUCUUCCAGACCAGGAAUGUUUGUGUAGGCUUUGCCAGAAAGCCCUCCCCUGGGCCCCUGCCUUCCUGUCGGUCUUCUUGGUGGUCAAGAGAGAAACUCUGGAAGCUACAGAAGGAAGAAAACAGGAUAUAUUCCCUAGGGCUGUGGCUUCAGACAGGGGAGGAACUCCCCACCUGAAAAGACAGUCUCCUGUCAGGCUUCUGAGAAGCUGUGAGCUGGCGGAGCGUGCCCUGAGGAGGCUCACCUGUGGCCCAGAAGAAGGGGAACGGGACACUGGCUGCUCCUUAUCUUUGGAGGACAUGGCCUCACAGCCCGGAGCCUGGGAGGUAGUCCCAGCUGACGCCACCGAGAGAUGGCAGACUUGGACAUGUGGCAGGGACAUCAGGAGCCAGCCUGGUUUUCAGCUUCCCAGGUGGGCCAACAGUUUAAGAAGCCUGAGGAGGCCAAGACCUUGCUUCCUGCCCUGUCUUCUAGUCUUCCCCCAUGCUCAUAGAGAAGCCACCUGGCCAGCAGCUGGGGUUUGAGCCCCCUGGACAGGGCAGGGCCCAGCUGGCACUGGGCAAAUAUCCUGCCCUUGCCACUCCUGACAACAUGCUCUCCUGGGGCUUCUGGCAAGUGGACCAUUAAAGUGAUUAAGGAUGGCCGUGUGGGUUUUUCGGGAGCGCCCAGCUCCCCCUUGCCAGUGAGGAGCAACAAUGUGCCAAGCACAGCUACCAGCUGGAAAGAGACCUGUAGGGAGAACCUCAGUCCCCGUGGCCACGAAGGUGAUGAAGUACAUUCUUUGUGAUUUCUCUUCAUACCUCCCUUUUUUGCAGGUAUCCUGAGCCAAGCAAAGGUUCUGUCUAGGAGGAGCAGG